AUACGGAGGAUCCAAGCGUUAUCCGGAUUUAUUGGGUUUAAAGGGUGCGUAGGCGGUUUGAUAAGUUAGAGGUGAAAUACCGGUGCUUAACACCGGAACUGCCUCUAAUACUGUUGAGCUAGAGAGCAGUUGCGGUAGGCGGAAUGUAUGGUGUAGCGGUGAAAUGCUUAGAGAUCAUACAGAACACCGAUUGCGAAGGCAGCUUACCAAACUAUAGCGGACGUUGAGGCACGAAAGCGUGGGGAGCAAACAGGAUUAGAUACCCUGGUAGUCCACGCAGUAAACGAUGAUAACUCGCUGUCGGCGAUACACGGUCGGCGGCUAAGCGAAAGCGAUAAGUUAUCCACCUGGGGAGUACGUUCGCAAGAAUGAAACUCAAAUGAAUUGACGGGG
rnacentral:rRNA from 1 species